rnacentral:rRNA from 1 species
UUAAAUUGAAGAGUUUGAUCAUGGCUCAGAUUGAACGCUGGCGGCAGGCCUAACACAUGCAAGUCGAGCGGAAACGACUUA